AUACGGAGGGUGCAAGCGUUAUUCGGAAUCACUGGGCGUAAAGGACGCGUAGGCGGGUUGGCAAGUCAGAUGGGAAAUCCUACAGCUUAACUGUAGAACUGCAUUUGAAACUGCUAACCUAGAGUAUGGGAGGGGGAGAUGGAAUUAGUGGUGUAGGGGUAAAAUCCGUAGAUAUCACUAGGAAUACCGAAAGCGAAGGCGAUCUCCUGGAACAUAACUGACGCUAAGGCGUGAAAGCGUGGGGAGCAAACAGGAUUAGAUACCCUAGUAGUCC
rnacentral:rRNA from 1 species